GCAGACACAUUCCAGCCAAUCAGCAGCAGACCCUCCCUCCCAGACCCUCCCACCUCCUGGACAGCUCCAUUUUGCAUUCAUUGUGAAGCUGCAUUCUUAGUGAGCUGUCCAGGAGGUGGGAGGGUCUGGGAGGGAGGGUCUGCUGCUGAUUGGCUGGAAUGUGUCUG